GUUCCAGUAGCGCAAUGGAUAGUGCUUUUGAUUUAUCAUCCAAAAGUCGAGGAUUCGAAGUCCACCUGGGAUA